UAUGUUUUCCUUUGUGAACUGUUUCUAAGAUCUGCGGUUCGUCAUGUAAGUUGAGAGGGUUGUAUCUUGGCUAUAAAAGAUCUUUGUACUUUUCUGAUGUCACUUCCAAUGGUUCAUUAGAAAUGGUGCAUCGUUGAAAGUCAAAUUGCUAUUGCAAAGCUCUUAUUAUUAAAGAUGUAGUUUAAGUAUAACUCUGACUGUUGUGUGAAGUUUGUAACUCUCCUCAUUUGGUAAAGCAGACAUAAGCCACCACAGAUGUCACCAGUGCUUCGUUCACACUGCACUCCCAGGGCCAUGUGGAAUUUGCACCUGUAAAGUCUUUGUUCAUGCCUGCUCAGUAUGUCCCCAUAUCAUUGAGAAGGGGAUUGUCAUGGACACUGAUGUCUACAUGUAUGGCAGCCCCACCCUCAGCAGCCCCACCCUCAGGUGCACAGCCCGUGGAAUCCCCACCCCCGCACACAUCCAAUGGCAGUGGAUGUCCAGAGAGGACUGCCCAAUCAUCUUCCAGUCAGGAGUGGUGAACUCUGGGGUCAAGCUGGAGGGCUGUAUCAAAUGGAGGGACAUCAGCAAUAACACAGGGCAGAAGAAUCCUAUCGAUGGAAUUACCGUGAACACAGAUCACUUUCACAAGACUGUGUUCUCUAAAGAUCCAGAAAGCCAAGAUCCACGCCCUCUACAGAUGCCUGCCUAACAAAGCGGGACAAGAUUCACAAAUCAUCCUUUUCCAUUUGACACUAGCCCAUUGAGCAGGACCAGGUUAUUCUGAGGUGUAAGGCAGACCGGCUGAUCUAUGGAAAGCUAGCCUGGUUCCGUGUGGGGAAUGUGUCUGACCGAGAGCAGGUCCCAGCCAUGCAGCGCUGUCAGGCACUGUUCCUGUCCCAGAGGCCCCUAUCCCAGGCUGUCCUGUCUGGCCUGCAGGGCACCAACGUCACACUUGAGCUGCCCCCAACUGUGGCUCGGGGGGAUCAGGGGGUAUAUGCCUGCCAGGUGGAGAACAUCAAGACUUGGGAGAGGACCUGCCUCCACCGACACCUCACCCUCAGAGCUCUCAAGGCAGUGAGGAUCCUGAAAAAUUUGACAGACCAGAGUGAAUGUCAGCGCCAUGACCAUGCUAAUAUGUGAGGUGACCGGGACACCCACCCCGACAGUGACGUGGACCAAACACAACCAAAAAUUGGUGGAGGGCUCAGAGUUGAGUGGGAGGAGCACCUGACCGUGGAGGAACUGCUCAGCUACAGUUUCCAGGUGGCCAAGGGCAUGGAAUUCCUCUCCUCUCGCAAGUGCAACCAUCGGGACCUGGCAGCUAGGAACAUCCUGCUCUCAGAGAACAAUAUUGUAAAGAUCUGUGACUUUGGUCUGGCCAGAGACGUCUACAAAGAUCCCGACUACGUCCGUAUGAGCAAGAGGAGAUGAAUAGUCUGGACCAACAGCCUAGCCAGUCUACAUCAUGUGGUUUCAUCCAUUUUUGUAGAUUGUUCUUGCCUCUCAAUUGUACAGUUUUAUUACAAUCAUUUUUGCAUUUGUAAUAGUUAUUAGCUUAUUUUAUUGAAACCAAUAUCUACUUUACUAAACUUGUAAAUGUAACUUUUUAUAAAACAAAUAUACAGUAUGUGCGUUCGUGUACUGUCUGUCAAAUUUAUCCUGAGGUGACAAUACGUUCCCAGCCUUGGCUAUUCUGCAUGUGUAUUCUGCUGGCACAGCUCAGAAUGGUGAGGGCAAUGUUCUUUACAUCUUAAUUCAUGCAGAUACAAUACCUGUACAACUACUUUGGAGCCUUGAUACUAAAUGUGCCCAUGUUUGUAACUGUUUUGUGUUCAGUUAUUUGUUGGGAGUGGGCAUCUUUACUAGUAUCUGAGGUUUAUUUGACCUCUGACCCACAAUGUGCCAAGAAGUAAAGCUGAAAAUGUUCUGACUAUUUAUUACAACCCACCAUUUAAGAUGAGUUCAAAGAACAGAAUCGCUACAUAACCUUGAGGACAUCUCGGAGCAUGUAAUUGCGCACACACACUCCUGUAACAGUGCAUUCUCACUACCACAGCAGUCAGAGCUGCUGGUGACUGUGGAUCUGUUAAAGAGGAUAGAGGUGCUUCCCUAGGAGUGUGUGUGUGUAAGUGUUCUUGAAUGAAUAUUUGUCCUCAAUCAACAACCGCACUCUGUUUCUUUAAUUAUAGCAUACCGGAGGAAAUGUUUUGCAGCUUAAGAGCUCGUUUUCCACUUCCACACAAACUACUGUGGAGUAAAUAUACAGCAUCAAAACUCUCAUCCGUCUGUUAGUCGGAACUCUGAGCCGUAAUUCUGCAGGAUCUAGUAGUUCCGUUUUAUGGGUUUCAGGCAACUGUAUGCAGUUCCACUCAUUGACUAUAGAUGCCUCUGUACCUCUGCUGUUUUAAUGGAGAACACACAUCUACUGUACAUGCCUUACUCUGGUCCUGUGAGGAACUGGUGUGCAGUUUAUAAUGUACACGCAUGCGUGCGUGUCUGUGAACCCGUGUGUGUCUGUCGUUCUGUGAUUAUGUCAGAAUUCCGGUAAUGUCUAUAGUUUGGUAAAAUACUAAAAGAAAAGCUGCAAAUGUGUCGAUGCAAAUGUGUUUGUUGGUCAGUGGUUUAAAAAGUACCCAAUAGUCAUACUUGAGUAAAAGUAAAGAUACCUUAAUAGAAAAUGAAGUGAAAG